UCUGCAUUCAGUUCCACUGAUUUCAAAGUCGUCUGCAAUGCCGCGUUCGACCGUUUCGCCGUCUGACGGAAAGGAGCUGAAACACAGCAUCACUACCUGGUAUGUGUUUGGCAUCACUGCACUACUACCAACAUGCUCCUAUCUCAUUCUUUCCCGGAAUGUACCACUCACAUCCUGCUGUGGAGCACUGCCACAGGUCACCCACAAUGGCUUAGUCCAGACUCUGCAGUUGGUGGGAAUGAGAGCUUAGGAACUCAAUGGGCUGCAUCAGGUCAUACUCACCUGUUCUGUCGCUCUCGUUCUGUUAUGCUUGACACAGCACGUAUGCACACUGUAGAAUUAACACUGUCUGUUGUGAGGCGUGCAUGUGCUUUGUGCGCUAGAUCAAGACUAGCCGCAGAGAUACCAUCGUCAGCAUCACCAACCAAAUUCAUUUUACCACACGCAAGAAUUUGUUAUAAAUAAAGACUAUA